rnacentral:lncRNA from 1 species
CGCUCUCCUGUGUGGGUGCGCAUGUGAUUAAUGAGGUAGUCUUUCCGUGAAAAGGACGCACUGCAGUGGUCACAAGAAAAGGGUCGCUCUCCUGUGUGGGUGCGCAUGUGUGCCAUGAGGUUGCCUUUCUGC